rnacentral:rRNA from 1 species
CAGCCGCCGCGGGAAUACGGAGGGGGCUAGCGUUGUUCGGAAUUACUGGGCGUAAAGCGCACGUAGGCGGCUUGGUAAGUUAGAGGUGAAAGCCUGGAGCUCAACUCCAGAAUUGCCUUUAAGACUGCCGAGCUAGCAGGUGAGAGAGGUAAGUGGAAUUCCGAGUGUAGAGGUGAAAUUCGUAGAUAUUCGGAGGAACACCAGUGGCGAAGGCGGCUUACUGGCUCAUACUGGACGCUGAGGUGCGAAAGCGUGGGGAGCAAACAGGAUUAGAUACCCGAGUAGUCCCUGUCUCUUAUAC